UACGUAGGUGGCGAGCGUUGUCCGGAAUUACUGGGUGUAAAGGGAGCGUAGGCGGGUCGGCAAGUCAGUGGUGAAAUACAUGGGCUUAACCCAUGAAUUGCCAUUGAAACUGCCGGUCUUGAGUGGAUCAGAGGCAAGCGGAAUUCCGAGUGUAGCGGUGAAAUGCGUAGAGAUCGGGAGGAACACCAGUGGCGAAGGCGGGUAACUGGACCGCAACUGACGCUGAGGCGCGAAAGUGUGGGGAGCAAACAGGAUUAGAUACCCUGGUA
rnacentral:rRNA from 1 species